rnacentral:rRNA from 1 species
AUUGAACGCUGGCGGCAGGCCUAACACAUGCAAGUCGAGCGGAUGAAGGGAGCUUGCUCCUGGAUUCAGCGGCGGACGGGUGAGUAAUGCCUAGGAAUCUGCCUGGUAGUGGGGGAUAACGUCCGGAAACGGGCGCUAAUACCGCAUACGUCCUGAGGGAGAAAGUGGGGGAUCUUCGGACCUCACGCUAUCAGAUGAGCCUAGGUCGGAUUAGCUAGUUGGUGGGGUAAAGGCCUACCAAGGCGACGAUCCGUAACUGGUCUGAGAGGAUGAUCAGUCACACUGGACUUGGGCACCGUCCCGAACUCCUACGGAGGGCGGCGGUGGGAAUUUUUGGCCAUGGGGCGAAGGCCUGAUCCAGCCAUGCCGGGGGUGUGAAGAGGGUCUCCGGUUUUUAAAGCACUUUAAGUUGGGAGAAAGGGCAGUAAGUUAAUACCUUGCUGUUUGGCCGUACCCAACAGAAUAACACCGGCUAACUUCGUG